UACGGAGGAUCCGAGCGUUAUCCGGAUUUAUUGGGUUUAAAGGGUGCGUAGGCGGCCUAUUAAGUCAGGGGGUGAAAGACGGUAGCUUAACUAUCGCAGUGCCUUUGAUACUGAUAGGCUUGAAUGUACUUGAGGUAGGCGGAAUGUGACAAGUAGCGGUGAAAUGCAUAGAUAUGUCACAGAACACCAAUUGCGAAGGCAGCUUACUAAAGUAUGAUUGACGCUGAGGCACGAAAAGCGUGGGGAGUCAAACAGG
rnacentral:rRNA from 1 species